GGAUGAAGAUGACGAUGGUGGUGGUGGUAAAGUUAAUGAACUUAAUGAUGAAUGAAUAGAAUUAUUAUCAUCAUCAUCAUCACCAUCACCAUCAUAACAU
rnacentral:pre_miRNA from 1 species